rnacentral:tRNA from 1 species
GCUCAAGUAGUUUAAUUAAAAUAUUGGUCUUGUAAACCAUUGAUGAAUUCCACUUUCCUUGAGCU